rnacentral:rRNA from 1 species
UACGAAGGGGGCUAGCGUUGCUCGGAAUUACUGGGCGUAAAGCGCACGUAGGCGGCCUUUUAAGUCGGGGGUGAAAUCCUGGAGCUCAACUCCAGAACUGCCUUCGAUACUGGAAGACUUGAGUCCGGGAGAGGUGAGUGGAACUGCGAGUGUAGAGGUGAAAUUCGUAGAUAUUCGCAAGAACACCAGUGGCGAAGGCGGCUCACUGGCCCGGUACUGACGCUGAGGUGCGAAAGCGUGGGGAGCAAACAGG